UACGGGAGGCAGCAGUGGGGAAUAUUGCACAAUGGGCGAAAGCCUGAUGCAGCUAUGCCGCGUGUAUGAAGAAGGCCUUAGGGUUGUAAAGUACUUUCAUCGGGGAGGAAAAAACAAAACUAAUAAUUUUAUUUCUUGACGUUACCCGAAAAAGAAGCACCGGCUAACUCCGUGCCAGCAGCCGCGGUAAUACGGAGGGUGCUAGCGUUAAUCAGAAUUACUGGGCGUAAAGAGCACGUAGGUGGUUUUUUUAAAGUCAGAUGUGAAAUCCCUGGGCUUAACCUGGAACUGCAUUUUGAAACUGAAAUACUAGAGUAUCGUAGAGGGAGGUAGAAUUCUAGGUGUAGCGGUGAAAUGCGUAGAUAUCUGGAGGAAUACCUGUGGCGAAAGCGGCCUCCUAAACGAAUACUGACACUGAGGUGCGAAAGCGUUGGGGAGCAAACAGGGAUUAGAUACC
rnacentral:rRNA from 1 species